GACGAACGCUGGCGGCGUGCUUAACACAUGCAAGUCGAGCGGUAAGGCCCUUUCGGGGGUACACGAGCGGCGAACGGGUGAGUAACACGUGGGUGACCUGCCCUCAGCUCUGGGAUAAGCCUGGGAAACCGGGUCUAAUACCGGAUAUGACCUCAUGACGCAUGUUGUGGGGUGGAAAGCCUUGUGCGGCUGAGGAUGGGCCCGCGGCCUAUCAGCUUGUUGGUGGGGUGAUGGCCUACCAAGGCGACGACGGGUAGCCGGCCUGAGAGGGCGACCGGCCACACUGGGACUGAGACACGGCCCAGACUCCUACGGGAGGCAGCAGUGGGGAAUCUUGCGCAAUGGGCGAAAGCCUGACGCAGCGACGCCGCGUGAGGGAUGACGGCCUGU
rnacentral:rRNA from 1 species